ensembl:lncRNA
GCAGCCGCCCACCCAGCGCGGGCUCGGUUCGGAUGCAGCGCGGAUGGGCGAGCGCGUGCACGCUCCCCCGAGCAGUGGCCCUUCCCCGGCCCUGGGCCGCGCUCCCUGCGACAGGGUCUGGCCUGGGCGGGUGGGUAAGGCUGCAGCCGCCACCGCUGGGAGCCAUAGGACAAUGGGGGCUUUUGUCCCUGUAUCUGGCGAGGACCAAUUACACGUUUAAUUUGAGGCUAAUUCGAUUACCGCCAUGGAAAAAGACAGGCUAAUUUUCUCGCAGCCUCUUCUCGCCCGCGAUGUUCACCUUUAGAACGUAAUGGAGAAAGAGUUGCACCGUUUGCGCGGUUUCAGCUCAGUGAUGGUGAUGAUGUCCAGCUUGGAGAGGGGUGACAGUGACCUCUCCGAGCGAAGCUUUGGGCGUUGGGGCCAGUCACGCGUAUUCCUUCAAGCGGUUAAUGUAUUCCUCCAUGGCUCAACUUUAACCUGAGGUCAGGUGCUCUGUCCUGGGUCUUUGGAAGUGAGGUCUGCCGGCUGCUGUGGAGGACCCCUGAGAUGGCGUGAAGAUUGGAGUUCUCCCACCUCCAUUUUCUGACACUGGACGUUUUCUUGAAUUUAUGUUCACUGCCCCUCACAAACAAGCCCACUGGCCACCCUGUCAUCUCCCAGGCUGUGCAGAAAUCCUGUAACUGCUCUCAAGGGAGGAAAAGGAUGGUGUGGUGGUGCACACUUGUGAUCCCAGUACUCAGAAGACUGAGGCAGGAGGAUUGCCAAGAGCCUGGACUACAAAAUGAGCUCAAGUCCAGAAUGAGCUACACAAUGAUGUACCAAUCCUGUAAACACACAAACAAAUGUUAAAACAAAAAUGACCUUGUUCCUUCUAGUCACCUGGGUGUAUACUGCUACCUGAAGAGUCUAUAAUAGACUUACAUCAUGGAAGAGAUGGAAGUGCCUACAGAGAUGUCCGUGUAGCUGCUUUGAGAAAGAAGAUGCAAUUACCACCACGGUUUGAUAACUUUAAGGGUGAAGUAGUGGCACACAUGUCCUGGUGGUAACCAACAGCUCUCUAAUUGGAUUUAAGACCUGCUCAACAAGAGAGAGACCAUUCCUGAGAGGUCUUUGGCACAACUCCAAACUCUGAAAACACUCAUUGAGGGAUUCCUGCACAGUCUGGGGGAUGUUUGACAGAGAUUCUUCAUGUAACAGGAUUGGCUGCCCUCAUCCAGCAGCUGGUGGAAGUAGAAGCAACACCCACAACUAAUCACUGAACUGACCUGGAAUCCAGUUGCAGAGAAGGACAAGUGAAGAGCAAAGGGGUCCAGACCAGGAUGGUGAAACCCACAGAAACAGCUGACCUGAACAUCGGGGAACUCUUCUACCCAGACUGAUAGCUGGAUACCAGCAUGGGACUGAUCCAAACCCCAGGAACAUGGGUUUCAGUGAGGAAACCUCGGAAAGCUAUGGGACCUCCUAUAGUAGUUCAGUACUUAUCCCUAGCAUAGGUGUGGACUUUGGGAACCCAUUCCACAUAGAGGAAUACUCCCUGAGCCAAGACACAGGGGGUGGGCCUAGGCCCUAUCCCAAAGGAUACGAUAGACUCUGAUGAAACCUAUGGAAGGCGUCAACAUCCAGGGGGAGCAGAAAGGAUAUGUGAU